AGGCAGCAGUGGGGGAAUAUUGCACAAUGGGCGCAAGCCUGAUGCAGCCAUGCCGCGUGUAUGAAGAAGGCCUUCGGGUUGUAAAGUACUUUCAGCAGUGAGGAAGGGGGUGUCGUUAAUAGCGGCAUUCUUGACGUUAGCUGCAGAAGAAGCACCGGCUAACUCCGUGCCAGCAGCCGCGGUAAUACGGAGGGUGCGAGCGUUAAUCGGAAUUACUGGGCGUAAAGCGCAUGCAGGUGGUUUGUUAAGUCAGAUGUGAAAGCCCCGGGGCUCAACCUCGGAACUGCAUUUGAAACUGGCAAACUAGAGUACUGUAGAGGGGGUAGAAUUUCAGGUGUAGCGGUGAAAUGCGUAGAGAUCUGAAGGAAUACCAGUGGCGAAGGCGGCCCCCCUGGACAGAUACUGACACUCAGAUGCGAAAGCGUGGGGAGCAAACAGGAUUAGACUACCCUGGUAG
rnacentral:rRNA from 1 species